rnacentral:misc_RNA from 1 species
GAUGAAGAACGUAGCGAAAUGCGAUACUUGGUGUGAAUUGCAGAAUCCCGUGAACCAUCGAGUCUUUGAACGCAAGUUGCGCCCGAAGCCUCGGCUAAGGGCACGUCUGCCUGGGCGUCACGCAUCGCGUCUCCCCCAAACCGCCAAGGCGGAGGGGAAGGAAGAUGGCUUCCCGUGCCUCACCCGGCGCGGUUGGCCUAAAUUUGGAGCCCGCGGCACUUAGCUCUCGCGGCGAUAGGUGGUGAACAAGGCCUUGGCCGUGCAAACAACCCGCUGCGAAGCUCUAUGUCACGUGCGCUCGUCGGACCCUUUGAAGUUGCCUUCGGUGACUUAAAACCUUUGCGACCCCAGGUCAGGCGGGGCUACCCGCUGAAUUUAAGCAUAUCAAUAAGCGGAGG